UACGUAGGGGUGCGAGCGUUAAUCGGAAUUACUGGGCGUAAAGCGUGCGCAGGCGGUUUUGUAAGACAGAUGUGAAAUCCCCGGGCUUAACCUGGGAACUGCGUUUGUGACUGCAAGGCUAGAGUACGGGCAGAGGGGGGUGGAAUUCCACGUGUAGCAGUGAAAUGCGUAGAUAUGUGGAGGAACACCGAUGGCGAAGGCAGCCCCCUGGGCCUGUACUGACGCUCAUGCACGAAAGCGUGGGGAGCAAACAGG
rnacentral:rRNA from 1 species